CAGCCGUAAACUAUGCGCGUUAGGUGUAUCGGUGACCACGAGUUACCGAGGUGCCGAAGGGAAACCGUGAAACGUGCCGCCUGGGAAGUACGGUCGCAAGGCUGAAACUUAAAGGAAUUGGGCGGGGGAGCACCACAACAGGUGGAGCCUGCGGUUUAAUUGGACUCAACGCCGGGAAGCUCACCGGAUAGGACAGCAGAAUGAUUGCCGGGCUGAAGACCCUGCAUGACUAGCUGAGAGGAGGUGCAUGGCGUAGACGUCU
rnacentral:rRNA from 1 species